rnacentral:rRNA from 1 species
GACAGAGGGUGCAAACGUUGCUCGGAAUCAUUGGGCGUAAAGCGCACGUAGGCGGUUCGUUAUGUCGGAUGUGAAAGCCCUCGGCUCAACUGAGGAAGUGCACCCGAAACUGGCGAGCUUGAGUACGAAAGAGGAUCGCGGAAUUCCCGGUGUAGAGGUGAAAUUCGUAGAUAUCGGGAGGAACACCGGGUGGCGAAGGCGGCGAUCUGGGUCGAUACUGACGCUGAGGUGGCGAAAAGCGUGGGG